rnacentral:rRNA from 1 species
UACAGAGGUCUCAAGCGUUGUUCGGAUUCAUUGGGCGUAAAGGGUGCGUAGGCGGCGCGGUAAGUCGGGUGUGAAAUCUCGGAGCUUAACUCCGAAACUGCAUUCGAUACUGCCGUGCUUGAGGACUGGAGAGGAGACUGGAAUUUACGGUGUAGCGGUGAAAUGCGUAGAUAUCGUAAGGAAGACCAGUGGCGAAGGCGAGUCUCUGGACAGUUACCGACGCUGAGGCACGAAGGCCAGGGGAGCAAACGGG